AUUGUUGGUGUAGUCAGAUAGAGAUGUGAACAAUAUGGACCAAAAACCAAAGACCAAGACCCCCUGGAGUGGAAGAAAUUUGCAGGUGGGAGAACAGAGACCCUGAGGAGAUUGCAAAGGUUCACACAGCUGGGAAGUUGGGAAGCCAAGAACAAAGACUGGCCUUGCUAUUCUUUCUGCUCCACAGCUCUGCCCUUUAAUAGACAACAACUCUAAUAGGAAGGUUAAAAUUGAAUGCACAUUAUAACUGGAGAAAACUAAGUUCAGAGAUGUGAAAUGACUUGAUGACUCAGAAUCCAUCGAACCACAUUACCACCUAGUUACAAGUCAUUCAACAAACAUCUAUGGAGCGUCUUCCCUGUACAAGAUGAGUCUAAUGCUAAGUAAUUGAAAGAUUUUAGCAAAUUAUUAAAGUGAUAGUCAAGUAUUCAGUAAUUGUUUACUAUUCCUCUCAAAGAGUGCUGUGAAGCUGCUUAUCAUUGUCUCUAUUUUACAGCUGAGGAACAUAAGCUAAGAGAGUUUGUUGCUUGCCCAAAGCUAUAUAUUUGCCAUGUUGCCAAGCUGAGGUUGGUUUUCUGACCUUUAAUCCUGUCUUCUUUGCUCUAUCUUUAUGUUAGGGGUAUCUUUUUCUAGAGAAGAAACAUGAUGCACCAGCAAAACUUUAGUCUGCAAAGGAUCAUGAGCCCACAGGCUGUAAUUGUUGCUUUGAAAAGGCAGAAGCAAACGAAGAGUUGAUGGAGAUACCAGGCAUGA